rnacentral:rRNA from 1 species
ACUCCUACGGGAGGCAGCAGUGGGGAAUUUUGGACAAUGGGCGCAAGCCUGAUCCAGCAAUGCCGCGUGAGUGAAGAAGGCCUUCGGGUUGUAAAGCUCUUUCAGUUGAGAAGAAAAAGUCGUGACUAAUAAUCAUGAUUCAUGGCGGUAUCAACAGAAGAAGCACCGGCUAACUACGUGCCAGCGCCGCGGUAAU